rnacentral:lncRNA from 1 species
GUUGGAGGGCAACUGCAAUGUGUUAACCCUUUGGUGUGUUGAAAGCUGCUCAUUUCCACCUCCAGCACCAGCCCUAGGCUCUGUGCUGCUGCUUCUUCCAAACCCAGCCCAGAUUCCCCCACCUCAUCCUCCAUCCCUGUUCCCAUGCCAUGCUCCAGCCUGGAGGCCAGGAGCAGCAUGCACAGAAGCUGUGACACAAAUCCCCAGGUGUGGCACACAGUGGUGAUGAUCGCCCUGCUCCUGGUCUGAUGCGCUGUGUUGCUGGACCUGGCUGGAAGGCUUUUUUUGGCAGGAAGCAGCAGUUAAGGGUUACCACGAUCUGGGAGCUGCUCCAGCACCCAACUGCUAUCAGCUCUCGGUCACCCUGUCCUUACAGGUGGGGGUUUGUAUCGAUAGGGUCCCACUGGGGGGCUUUGCUGCUCAAGGCCAUGGGAGAUAAACCCCUCGCUGGGAAGGACUCACUUCCAGCUGAGCUCUGCACUGUGCCCGUUCUGCUUCCCGCUCUGCUUCCAUAUUCCAACCGGUGGCUUAUGAAAAUAAAUAAAUAAAUCACCCCACAGCUGCCCAUUUGUAUUCCUCUCACAGCUGUGCUUGCAGCGUGGCCAGGAUGUGAAUGGGUGCAUUCCUCUUCCCCACGCCUCAGCGCAGCGCAAGCUCUGCUCCCCGAAAGCUGCUGUUCCCGGGGCUGAGAUCGGGCAGCACAAACACACAGCGGGCUCAGAGCUCUCCAUGCAUCCCUCCCCACCCACAUGCACACCGCAGCCCAGCAAUGAGUGCUGCUGCUCGAGAGCCGGCUUUGUUCCGUUGAAGCUUGCUGCUUGAUUUAAUUAAUUAAUGCAAAUCGAGACUUGUGUUAAAGCCUCCUUUUAAUUACCGUAACGUCUAGUGGAGCGUGAGUCUUUUUUCCUCCCUUUUUCUUGUGUUUUUAAAGGAAUAGCAAGGCCUGGAUGUGCAGCACCCGCCCCACUUCCCAGCCAGCACCUGUCCUCAGAGCCCUUUGAUGGCAGAGCCUGGAGAUUUUGGCUUAAAUUGGAGCCG